rnacentral:rRNA from 1 species
CUUCGGGUAGCAAUAUUUGGAGUGUCUAGCGGCGAAAGGGUGCGUAACACGUGGCUACCUGCCUCAAAAUGGGGGAUAAUCCCGCGAAAGCGGGACUAAUACCGCAUGUGAUCGAAAGAUUAAAGCUGGGGAUCGUAAGACCCGGCGUUUUGAGAUGGGGCUGCGGCCUAUCAGCUAGUUGGUGAGGUAAUGGCCCACCAAGGCAAAGACGGGUAGCUGGUCUGAGAGGACGACCAGUCACACUGGAACUGAGACACGGUCCAGACACCUACGGGUGGCAGCAGUCGAGGAUUUUUCUCAAUGGGCGAAAGCCUGAAGGAGCGACGCCGCGUGGGGGAUGAAGGUCUUCGGAUUGUAAACCCCUGUCAUCUGGGAACAAUGUUGUUCACCCAACACGUGAACAAUUGAUAGUACCGGAAGAGGAAGACGUGGCUAACUCUGUGCCAGCAGCCGCGGUAAUACAGAGACGUCAAGCGUUGUUCGGAUUCAUUGGGCGUAAAGGGUGCGCAGGCGGCUCGUUAAGUCGGAUGUGAAAUCUCACAGCCUAACUGUGAUAGGUCAUUCGAAACUGGCGGGCUCGAGGACUGGAGAGGAGACUGGAAUGGUCGGUGUAGCGGUGAAAUGCGUAGAGA